GGACAGCUUGUAGCAAUACCGGCUGUUCAGUGGCGAACGGGUGCGUAACACGUGGGCAACAUGCCUGAAAGCGCGGGAUAGCCCGGGGAAACCCGGAUUAAUACCGCAUGUGACGCCGGAGGGGAUUCCCUCCAUCGUCAAAGGUGGGGACCGCAAGGCCUGCCGCUUUCAGAUUGGCCCGCGCCCUAUCAGCUUGUUGGUGAGGUAACGGCUCACCAAGGCUACGACGGGUAGCUGGUCUGAGAGGACGACCAGCCACACUGGAACUGAGACACGGUCCAGACACCUACGGGUGGCAGCAGUCGAGAAUCUUUCACAAUGGGGGAAACCCUGAUGGAGCGACGCCGCGUGGAGGAUGAAGGUCUUCGGAUUGUAAACUCCUGUCAUGAGAGAACAAGCAAGCCCGGCCAAUACCCGGGUGCGUUGAUAGUAUCUCAAGAGGAAGGGACGGCUAACUUCGUGCCAGCAGCCGCGGUAAUACGAAGGUCCCAAGCGUUGUUCGGAAUCACUGGGCGUAAAGGGUGCGUAGGCGGCGCGAAAAGUCAGAUGUGAAAUCCCGGGGCUCAACCCCGGAAUUGCAUCCGAUACUCUCGCGCUCGAGGACUGGAGGGGAGUCUGGAAUUCACGGUGUAGCAGUGAAAUGCGUAGAUAUCGUGAGGAACACUAUUGGCGAACGCGAGACUCUGGACAGUUCCUGACGCUGAGGCACGAA
rnacentral:rRNA from 1 species